CAGGUAAGAAGAAAACGGAGAAAAACAAGACAUUGGUAGAUGUUCUUGUUCGCUCAGACAUCUCAUAGGAAGGACGAAGAAUAGUUAACGAGUCUCUGAAGCCGAAGUUCAACCUCUUUGUCAAGCAGGUGUCCGCCAGCAUUGAGAUGGCAGAGCCACACAUUGAUGGCAAUGGAUAAAAUCUACUCUGGAUAGUUGACAAAGGGAGUACAUGCAAAGUUGACUUUUUUCCUGCGGAUUUGCUUAUCAUGAAGAUGCUUGCAAGGAUGCAGAGGGAGCGGAUCAUUUGGAGAGAUAGGACGCCACUGUUUGGUGUUUUUAUCCAUUUUGGUUUGCUUGUAACUGUGUUUGCACUAGCUGGGAGUAAGUGACUUCAAGAAGUGUAGGUGUUUUAACUGAAGGCAUGAAAAGCCAUGACAAUAUGUAUGCUCUUACAGGAUGUGUUCUA